GACGAACGCUGGCGGCGUGCUUAACACAUGCAAGUCGAACGGAAAGGCCCUGCUUUUGUGGGGUGCUCGAGUGGCGAACGGGUGAGUAACACGUGAGUAACCUGCCCUUGACUUUGGGAUAACUUCAGGAAACUGGGGCUAAUACCGGAUAGGAGCUCCUGCUGCAUGGUGGGGGUUGGAAAGUUUCGGCGGUUGGGGGUGGACUCGCGGCUUAUCAGCUUGUUGGUGGGGUAGUGGCUUACCAAGGCUUUGACGGGUAGCCGGCCUGAGAGGGUGACCGGCCACAUUGGGACUGAGAUACGGCCCAGACUCCUACGGGAGGCAGCAGUGGGGAAUAUUGCACAAUGGGCGGAAGCCUGAUGCAGCAACGCCGCGUGCGGGAUGACGGCCUUCGGGUUGUAAACCGCUUUCGCCUGUGACGAAGCGUGAGUGACGGUAAUGGGUAGAGAAGCACCGGCUAACUACGUG
rnacentral:rRNA from 1 species